rnacentral:lncRNA from 1 species
UUUUCAGGACUUGAUAAAAUUGAGCAACUGCAAAAUCAUGAAAAUGAAGAAAUUUAUAAGUUGGCUUAUGAAAUUAUUGACCAAUACUUUUCUGAUGAUGCUGAUGAAGAUUCCACUGUGGCACCAGAGUCAUCGGAUCAAGGCUAUCAGUUUGAUCCUAUUGCUAGUAUCCCCACUGAUGGUUUUGAAUUUUAGCAGCUACUUAAAGACUUUUUCCAUGGCCUAGUAGAGUGAAGUGUGCCAGAUCCAGUAACAGUGCUCAUUGUGGGCUUGCUUCUGCUGUGACUAAAAUAUUUCUGAAACUUGAAGAUACAUUUUGACAACUGUGCAUUUUCUUGUCCCACAAAAUAGCUGAUGUGUUGAGUUUCUUUUACAUGGGGAAACAUCCAAAUUAUAACCACACAGUUACGUUUUUUCCAGACACCAAGUAAGUGUUUGAGCAAAGUCAACGAAAAUGGGCUUCUCAGAUACAUACAGAGCAUUGAAAAAAAAAAUUAUAUAUAUUUUUUUUUCAUUGGAAAUUUGCUUUCUUUAUACUCUAAAGGGAACUUUGUGUGACAUUUAAAUUACCGAAAUGUUAGUAACAGCAUUCACAAAUGUUUGUGCUAUACAAAAUGAAAUUUUUUCCAAGAGCUCGUAAGAAUUAGUGGUGUCUCAUUUAUUCUGUGGAGGAUUUUAAGAGGCAAUACAUUUUCAUUGUGACAACAUCGUUCAAACAUUAAAAUUCUACUACUAUAGAGCUUCACCUGACACAGAGUAUAGAAAAUGGGUAAAAAAAUGGCACUGGCUACUGAUACUACCCAAGUUAUUGAAUUGAAGAUUUUGACCUCCAGCUCCAAUCAUCACAAAAAUAAUUGUCCCAUUUUGUGAUAGAAAUGUUGGUGUUUUGAUUUAUCUGUAUCCGUGACAGUUGCUUGUAGUAUUUGGUUGUUGUUAUUCCGACCACUUUAACACCCGAGUGGUUUAUACACUUUCGAAGGACAACAGUUGCCUACGACUAAAAAGCUGAAUUAUAGAAAAAAGGGAAAUUGUUUCUUGUAACCACAAAAUAUUAAAGAAGAACAAUAUGUACCUCUGUAACGGGGGUGAUUUCCUCGUUCAGGAGGAGAUCUUGUGAAUGUUAUUUGAUCUCUCUAGUGAUAUGUAUCAAUGGAUUGAGAGCUCCCAAUCUUACAAGUAUAUUUGCUCACUUCUUGAAGAUUUUAGAAAUUUCUUUUUAUAAAUACCACAUAAGGUUUAGAGUUGUUUAUUUUCUUUGGUUGAUUCAAAGUACUUAAAAUUUCACAUUAAUUUAUAGUUUUUAAAGAAAUGUUGACGUUUUUCAUAUGACACUCUUAGCAUUUUUUUUUUUUGUUUGUUUGUUUUUCCAAAACCUAAAUGAUAUGCUUGAGGUUUAAUAUCUGGUAUUUUGUUUAAUAUCUAACUAGGCUGUGACAUAUUUCAUUAUAAGUUCAAGAAAACCUACAUAACUUUGAAAUCCUUUACACUAAUUCAUUUUGUAUAUUUUCUUGGGGUUUGAAAUAUUAAUCAAGGUCUGAAUCAGAAACACUGCACAGGACACAGCUCUGUGUAGGAGGGUGCGAAAAGAAAGGACAUAAAUUCCGAGAAAAUGCCACUUGUGGACAGAAUUUUCAACACCACUUAAUACCUUCUUCAGUAGCUUAAGUGACGUAUAUUGGCUUUAGUGUACGUACGCCCAACAGAUAUCAUGGUGGUAGUUAAUGCAGUAAUGUCUGACAUUCACUUGAAAGUUUAAUACUAAAAAUACUUGGGUAAUCUUACUGAUAUUUUACCUGUGCCAUGGUUUCUCUUGAGUGACUUCUUAUCAUUGGAUUGAGCUGAAAAAUAACUUAGACGGUAUAAUAUUAUGGUUAGAUAAGUAUAAGGAAUGCUAGUGACCAAAUCAAAUGAUGUUUUUUAGCUCAAUUUUUUAUCAGUAUCUAAAUUUUUGAAACAUAAUAGAUAAUUACUCCAUAGGAAAAUGUAUACAAUAUUUCCAAUAAAACUUGUAAUUUUUUUAAUAUAUUAACACAGUUAUUAAUUAGACAUACAACUUUAAGAAAGAAGUAUCUUCCCCCCCCCUCCCCCCCACCUCUCUUUAGAACAUCUUUCAUCUAAUGUACAUAUGCUUUGUGAAUAGGUAAAGUAAGCAUAUGAGAACUACGUAAAACUAGCAUAUCAAAAUACUUCAGUAUACUGGAUUGCGAAUGUGGUUUCAGUAAAUUUAUCCAAACAGUGUACCAAUUAUUUUGUGAAUAUAAAACGUUCUGAAUUACCAAUUGCUUAAUGGUAGCAUUGAUGAGAUAGGUAGGAUCCUGGAAAGUGUUUCUGAAAUGAUUUUUGUUGUCAUGUAUACUGUGUAGAGAUAUAUAAAUAUAUCUAAAAAAGAAAGAAAUGGAUUAAUUACUCUUAUCUAUAUAUAUAUAUAAUACUGUCUAGGUCAUUGUAGGUGGCAGUGCAUGCAACUUUUAUGUUUAUCACUGGGCUAUGACACAAACUAGCUGUAAGUAGAGUUUUUGCCCAGUUUUUUUUUUUUUUUUCUUAUUUUAUGUAUUGUCAUCAUUAUUUAAUUGAGACUUGAUUUACUGGAAUACAAUGUUUUGGAAAUUUUCUCCAUAACAAGAACCCUUUUACAAAGUUUCAUUUCUGUAUUUGAGAUUUUUUUCAACACAGUUUUGUCACUGGCUUUGUUGUAGCAAAGCCCAAAAAAAAAGGGAGUAUGUGAUCUUUAACUUUUGCCUUUAAACAUUAAUUGAUUAAUUUUGCACGUGUUUUUCAGAACAACUGGUUUUUCAUGUUGGAUACUGAUUAUAUUAGAAUGAGAUAUCCAGUUUUUCUGCUGUUCCAAUAAGCCAGUACGUGCUAUAAGAACGAGUCGCGAGCUUCACAGAUCAGUGGGCCUGUAGGUUUUAAUUUUCCUGCACAAUAUGCACUUUCACACUGAAAGUUUGAGCCACGAGAUCUGAAUCCAUAUUAAUUGUCCUGUAAUGCAAAGUUGUCGUUUUGCAAUGGGAGAUUUAGCGCAUUAAGUCUACUGUAAUGCAAAGUUUCUUGUUUCACAAUUUAGAUCAAGCCACAAAUUCUAAUUAAACAUUAAUUACUUUCAUGAUGGAGAUUUAGCCACAAUCAGUCUGUUUGGUAUUAAGGCUAGCAUAACAUAUUGUGGGCAACUUUUGGUGGCUGAGAUAGAUCAACAACUCUUCAAAGUAAUGAAUUAGGCCUAUCAUUUGUAAUGCCUGAACCUAAUACGAUUCCCUUGGGAUUGAAAGGUUUAAAUGUUUUGUUUUUUAUAUCUAUAAAAGGGUAGUUUUUAUUGUUUAUUGUAGUUUGUAGAUCCAUCAGAGAAAAACAAUCAUGAUACAUUACUUGUAUUUCUCUUGUUUUGCUCUUUAAAUAUUUUCAGAAUCUACAUUUUGGAAAACAAGAAAUCUUAAAUGGGGGGGGGGACAAAUUUUUUUUUCCUUUAUAUACUGUUAUUUUUUUUGAAGAUAGAUCUAAAAAUUACAUAUUUUUAUAAUAGUUUGUCUUUCUUCCUCAGUUAUAAUUAGAAGCCUGUGAAACUUAACCAUUACUCUGGCACUCCUUAAAAUUUUAAAUGAACGUUAUAUCUAAUGUUACACAGAUACUUAGAGACUGCUGUAUCUAUGGAAACACUGAACAAAUAUAUUGCACAUAUUGUCACUUAUAUUUCUACUACUUCAUCACAGUUAUAAGAUAUAAGAACAUGGUAAGUAGUAUGUUGCUAUAGCAACAGUUUUUGUCUUUUUUUUUCUUUUUUCAAAAUGAAUUCAUAGUCAGCCAUUCAUCACAAAUUUUGGAAGGAGCCUUUUUCAAAACCUUUUUUUUUCUCCAUGCAUUCUGUUGAUUAAGUAGUUACCACCCUAUGGUUCAGUAGUAAGACUAAAGGCUUAUAAUGCAAACAGUUUGUGGUUUGAUCCCUGCAGUGAGCACAGUGCUAAAAACAGUGUAGUAGCAUAAGAACAAUAAAAUCUGACACCUACUAAUGUACAUACCCUACUCUAUACCAAAAAUUAUAGUAAAAUUAAUGCUUACUAGCUACAAUAAUAGAUGGUAGGAAUACAUUCACUAUUGCUAUUAAGGUACUGAUCACAGAAGUAAUUACAAAAAUAUAGUAAAAUUAAUGCUUACUAGCUACAAUAAUAGAUGGUAGGAAUACAUUCACUAUUGCUAUUAAGGUACUGAUCACAGAAGAGGGAUAAUAUUUAAAAAUAUAUAUAUAUAUAUAAUCAACUUCUCUAGUGUUAAGAAACAGCAAACAAGCUUUCUUGUAUAAUAAACUUUCUGUUGCACUAUGACCCAGUGGUUCUAUUCACUUCCUGUUGGGAGACUUAACUGUCUGUGUUUUUACUAAGUAAACAGAUUGCAGUAAAAAAAAAGCGUUAUAUUUUUCAACCUUUGUUCAUCAGUAAAGAAAAAUAAUUUAACUUCAUGUUGAAGUUCCAGAGAAAUGAUAACUGGUGUAGUGUGAAGACUUUUGUAAAUUGUGACAAUAAGUUUUUUGAAAUUCUUUUGAUGCACCUUUGAAACAUGGUGGAACUGAAAUUUGGUCAAUUUUAGGCUAAAACUACACUCGAGGUAUUUAGUCUGUAUGUGUGUAGAAUGUUAUCUACUUAAAAAGAAGGUACUGGUCUGAUUAUCAGUAUCAGAUAGAAAUCAUUGGUGAAUACGUAAAUAAUUUACAUUGCUAAAAAGAAAACUAGGUGUGUUUUGAGACCUGAUUUGACCCUGCAUCAUUGCCGAGUUCGGCAUAUAAAGUAAAUGUAGCUACUUUUAAGAUUAGGUCAACUUAUUGUUGGUUUUAAAAUAUUUGCUGUAAUAAACUUGUGCUGAAGGUUUGAAUUUGGUAA